AGAGAGAGACAUGCGCGCAUAUCAAUAAGCGGAGGAAAAGAAACUAACAAGGAUUCCCCUAGUAACGGCGAGUGAAGCGGGAAGAGCUCAAAUUUGAAAUCUUAAAGGGUCUCCCUUUACGAAUUGUAGUUUAAAGAAGUGUUUUCUGUUGAGGUUUUGGUAAAUGUUCUUUGGAAUAGGACAUCAUAGAGGGUGAGAAUCCCGUAUUUGACCUUUACUUUCAACUUUGUGAUACACUUUCAAAGAGUCGGAUUGUUUGGGAAUGCAGUCCAAAAUGGGUGGUAAAUUUCAUCUAAAGCUAAAUAUUGGCGAGAGACCGAUAGCGAACAAGUACCGUGAGGGAAAGAUGAAAAGAACUUUGAAAAGAGAGUUAAACAGUACGUGAAAUUGUCAAAAGGGAAGCGUUUGACACCAGUGUUGUUUUCUGAAGAUCAAUUAAAGAACUGUUUAUGCUAAGUUGUUUAGACUUUAUCAGCUAACUGUUUAGUUUUGAGCUUUUCUUUAAUGCACUUUUCAGUUAACAAGUCAACAUCAAUUUCUUUUGCUGUAAAAAAGCUUGAGGAAGGUGGCUUGAGAUUCGUCUUAAGUGUUUAUAGCCUCUUGCCUAUGCAGUCGGAGAGAUUGAGGUCUGCAGCGUAGAUCCUUCGGGGCUAAAUGCAUUUGUGCUAAGUUAUAGCAUUUUAUAGACAACUUGUUGACUAUGAUUUGUCUUGUAGCUUACUCGCUUAUGUUAUUUUACCUACGCUUAGGAUGUUGAGCGCAUGUCUCUCUCU
rnacentral:rRNA from 1 species